rnacentral:rRNA from 1 species
GUCUUAUAGAAUAUUAUAUUAAGUCUAAUCUGCCCMCUGAAGUUUUAAAUGGCCGCGGUAUUUUGACCGUGCAAAGGUAGCAUAAUCAUUAGUUUUUUAAUUGAAAGCUGGAAUGAAGGAUUGAAUGAAAAAAUAACUGUCUCUAUAAUAAAAUUUGAAAUUUAUUUUUAAAUUAAAAAGUUUAAAUAACAUUAAAAGACGAGAAGACCCUAUAGAGUUUAAUUAUAGGAAUAAAAAUUUAUUUUUAGAAUUUAUUAAUAGAUUUAUUUUAUAUAAUUUAAUUGGGGUGAUUGAAAAAUUUAUAUAACUUUUUUUAUUUUAUGUCAAUAAUUUUUGUUUUGUUGAUCCAUACUUUUUGAUUAUAAGAUUAAAUUACCUUAGGGAUAACAGCGUAAUUUUUUUUGAAAGUUCUUAUUGAAAAAAAAGUUUGCGACCUCGAUGUUGGAUUAAAAUUUAAUUUUGGUGUAGAAGCUAAAAUAUUUAAGUCUGUUCGACUUUUAAAAUUUUACA